AAAACGAGUAGCUAUGGUUUAAUCCACCAGCAGUGAGAAAUGCGUACUCCCAUCCUGGGUCAGACUAUCAUUUUGGUAAAAAUCUUUCUACAUACAGUUAAUUAAAAUCAACCUCUAUAUAAAAAGUUUUUCAUUGCAGUACCAGAGUUGGCCACUAUAUGGCAGUGUCUUACUGAGUAAAGACUGAUGUGUGCAAAGCGGAUAACGUUUAAAUACUCCACAU